rnacentral:tRNA from 1 species
UGCCCGGUGGUGUAAUGGUAGCACACCAGCCUUUGGAGCUGAGGGUCCUGGUUCGAAUCCAGGCUGGGCAACCA